GAUGAACGCUGGCGGCGUGCCUAAUACAUGCAAGUCGAGCGAACGGACGAGAAGCUUGCUUCUCUGAUGUUAGCGGCGGACGGGUGAGUAACACGUGGAUAACCUACCUAUAAGACUGGGAUAACAUCGGGAAACCGGAGCUAAUACCGGAUAAUAUUUUGAACCGCAUGGUUCAAAAGUGAAAGACGGUCUUGCUGUCACUUAUAGAUUGAUCCGCGCUGCAUUAGCUAGUUGGUAAGGUAACGGCUUACCAAGGCAAGGAUGCAUAGCCGACCUGAGAGGGUGAUCGGCCACACUGGAACUGAGACACGGUCCCGACUCCUACGGGAGGCAGCAGUAGGGAAUCUUCCGCAAGGGGCGAAAGCCUGACGGAGCAACGCCGCGUGAGUGAUGAAGGUCUUCGGAUCGGAAAACUCUGUUAUUAGGGAAGAACAUAUGUGUAAGUAACUGUGCACAUCUUGACGGUACCGAAUCAGAAAGCCACGGCUAACUACGUG
rnacentral:rRNA from 1 species